rnacentral:rRNA from 1 species
CCUACGGGAGGCAGCAGUGGGGAAUAUUGGUCAAUGGGGGGAACCCUGAUCCAGCGACGCCGCGUGAGUGAAGAAGUAUUUCGGUAUGUAAAGCUCUAUCAGCAGGGGAGAAAAUGACGGUACGUGACUAAGAAGCCCCGGCUAACUACGUGCCAGCAGCCGCGGUAAUACGUAGGGGGCAAGCGUUAUCCGGAUUUACUGGGUGUAAAGGGAGCGUAGACGGUGCAGCAAGUCUGAUGUGAAAGUUCGGGGCACAACCCCGAGAUUGCAAUGGAAACUGUCGAACUGGAGUACAGGAGAGGUAAGCGGAAUUCGUAGUGUAGCGGUGAAAUGCGUAGAUAUUAGGAGGAACACCAGUGGCGAAGGCGGCUUACUGAACUGCAACUGACGUUGAGGCUCGAAAGCGUGGGUAGCAAACAGGAUUAGAUACCCGAGUAGUC